rnacentral:rRNA from 1 species
AUUGAACGCUGGCGGCAUGCUUUACACAUGCAAGUCGAACGGUAACAGCACUUCGGUGGCUGACGAGUGGCGCACGGGUGCGUAAUACAUCGGAACGUGCCUAGUAGUGGGGGAUAACUACUCGAAAGAGUAGCUAAUACCGCAUGAGAUCUAAGGAUGAAAGCAGGGGACCUUCGGGCCUUGCGCUACUAGAGCGGCUGAUGGCAGAUUAGGUAGUUGGUGGGAUAAAAGCUUACCAAGCCGACGAUCUGUAGCUGGUCUGAGAGGACGACCAGCCACACUGGGACUGAGACACGGCCCAGACUCCUACGGGAGGCAGCAGUGGGGAAUUUUGGACAAUGGGCGCAAGCCUGAUCCAGCAAUGCCGCGUGCAGGAUGAAGGCCUUCGGGUUGUAAACUGCUUUUGUACGGAACGAAAAGCCCUCUUCUAAUACAGGAGGGUCAUGACGGUACCGUAAGAAUAAGCACCGGCUAACUACGUG